GUGUUGUUGGCUGAAGUCACGGCGCAGUAGCUGGUUGAAAGGGACCAAACCUCUCUCAAUCACCUGACUUGGUUCCGUUUUACCAGCAACUAAGACGUGUAUCUGAGCACAGAUGGAUUUCCAGCUUCAGAUUUAUAAAGUCAGAUUGAUCUCAUCUACGACUCUGGAAGCUGAAGACGGUCGUCCACGUCAUGAUCUUCCUUCUGGACAAUGACACAGAGUCCCUGGAUGUGCCGCCAAAGCAGUAAAGAGAGACUCAACCAGCAGCCAGAAAGCCCUGCAACCCAACAGCAUUGACAUAUCAGAGCGUUUCAGCUCAGGCGUCCCACAUUACUUGCCCGUCCCUUGGCGUCGGGUCCCUCAGACGGGACAAAUACAGGUCCGACGCUGUCUUCCGUGCGUAUCCUCGUCCUUUGCCAUCUCCUGGAUUGUGUCCAGACCCGGCUUGGCUUCCCGGCCUUUUCUAUGGCUCGCCCUCCCCCUUGUUGGCGGCCUUCCACCUGUUGAUGUCUUUUAGAGGCCUGGGUCUCUCCUGGACCUCCUGUUCGCAGGCCUCAGCGCUCUGACAGACCAGCAGCCUGUGAAAUCACACCUCUCAGCUGUUCACACUGCGCUCCAGACAUCCAAUCUCAAUGGCUUCUUCAAAAAAGGAGGGGAUUCUGGGGGGCAGGGUGGGCCACAAGACAACUGCCACCCGCUUUUAUUGGGACAGCAUGACAGAAAAUGCUUUCUGGGGCACAGCUGACAAAGAACUUCAUGUUUUUGGUGUGUGUGCAGAAAUUUAGCUCAGCAAUGUUCAUGUUAAUAAUGCUUUUGGAGUGAAGUUCUUGGAGCAUUGCUUUGCCACUUUACUUACGUCACUUUUGCGUGGAAGCUUA